GUGAGUCAUCGAAUCUUUGAACGCACCUUGCGCUCCUUGGUAUUCCGAGGAGCAUGCCUGUUUGAGUGUCAUGAAAUUCUCAACUGCCCCAGGCUUUGUGGCCUGCGGGUGAAGUUGGACUUGGAGGUAUGCUGGCGCAUGAAUGGGCUUUUGUGCCCCGUCUCGCUUGUUGGCUCCUCUCGAAUGCAUGAGCUUUCCAAUCCUUGGCAAAGUAUCGUCGAUGUGAUAAUUGUCUACGUCGCCUGAGAAAGCCGAAAAGGGGAAAUCUUUGAUCACGCUGGGGUGACCUGCGUCUGACAAAUUCGACCUCAAAUCAGGUAGGACUACCCGCUGAACUUAAGCAUAUCAAUAAGCGGAGG
rnacentral:rRNA from 1 species